rnacentral:tRNA from 1 species
GGUAAAAUGGCUGAAAUUUAGGCGAUAAAUUGUAAAUUUAUUUAUGGUUAUAUCCUUUUACUA